GUUAGUGAUGAGGAUAAUAUCUAGGAAGAACCUUGAAACUCUUCCACACUUGGUAUAAAUUCUCCAUAGGCUUCUGCUUGAAGCUCAAGAUUUCACUCCUUAGCCC
rfam:Capsicum annuum cultivar Zunla-1 chromosome 1, whole genome shotgun sequence